rnacentral:rRNA from 1 species
UAGGCGUAAAUAGAUGCGAGUUAAGUGUGGGGCGAUCUACGAGAUGGCCCUCGUGCUGUAGGGUAGCCGUUAAACUCGCUGCCUGGGGAGGUACGGUCGCAAGGCUGAAACUUAAAGGAAUUGGCGGGGGGAGCACCACAACGGGUGGAGCUUGCGGUUUAAUUGGAUUCAACGCCGGAAAUCUUACCGGGACCGACAGCAACAUGAAGGCCAGGCUGAAGACUUUGCCGGAUUAGCUGAGAGGAGGUGCAUGGCGUAGU